UUGGAAACGAUGGCUAAAACUGGAUAGGAACAUUUGAGGCAUCUUAAAUGUUUUAAAAGACCUAGCAAUAGGUAUGCUUAAGGAGGGGCCUGCCGCGCAUUAUUUAGUUGGUGAGGUAGCGGCUCACCAACACGAUGAUGCUUACCCGGACUGCUGAGUUGAACGGCCCCCUUGGGACUGAUGANCCGCCCACCCUCCUACUGGAGGCAGCAGUAGGGAAUUUUCGGCAAUGGGGGAAACCCUGACCGACCAACGCCGCGUGAAUGACGAAGUACUUCCGUAUGUAAAGUUCUUUUAUUGGGGAAGAAUGGAACAUGGAAAAACGUAUAUGACGGUACCUACUGAAUAAGCCCCGGC
rnacentral:rRNA from 1 species